rnacentral:rRNA from 1 species
AUUGAACGCUGGCGGCAGGCCUAACACAUGCAAGUCGAGCGGAUGAAGGGAGCUUGCUCCUGGAUUCAGCGGCGGACGGGUGAGUAAUGCCUAGGAAUCUGCCUGGUAGUGGGGGAUAACGUCCGGAAACGGGCGCUAAUACCGCAUACGUCCUGAGGGAGAAAGUGGGGGAUCUUCGGACCUCACGCUAUCAGAUGAGCCUAGGUCGGAUUAGCUAGUUGGUGGGGUAAAGGCCUACCAAGGCGACGAUCCGUAACUGGUCUGAGAGGAUGAUCAGUCACACUGGAACUGAGACACGGUCCAGACUCCUACGGGAGGCAGCAGUGGGGAAUAUUGGACAAUGGGCGAAAGCCUGAUCCAGCCAUGCCGCGUGUGUGAAGAAGGUCUUCGGGUUGUAAGGCACUUUAAGUUGGGAGGAAGGGCAGUAAGUUAAUACCUUGCUGUUUUGACGGUACCAACAGAAUAAGCACCGGCUAACUUCGUG